rnacentral:rRNA from 1 species
AUUGAACGCUGGCGGCAGGCCUAACACAUGCAAGUCGAACGAGUGGCGGACGGGUGAGUAAUGUCUGGGAAACUGCCUGAUGGAGGGGGAUCACUACUGGAAACGGUAGCUAAUACCGCAUACCAUCAGAUGUGCCCAGAUGGGAUUGGCUAGUUGGUGGGGUAACGGCUCACCAAGGCGACGAUCCCUAGCUGAUCUGAGAGGAUGACAAGACAAACUGGAACUGAGACACGGGCCGGACUCCUACGGGAGGCAGAAGUGGGGAAUAUUGCAAAAUGGGCGCAAGCCGGAUUCAGCCAUGCCGCGUGUAUGAAGAAGGCCUUCGGGUUGUAAAGUACUGUCAGCGGGGAGGCGUUACCCGCAGAAGAAGCACCGGCUAACUCCGUGCCAGCAGCCGCGGUAAUUC